rnacentral:sRNA from 1 species
GAAGUAAUACAGCACAGGCAGUAACAGUACAAGAUUAUACACUGUGCCCUGCCAAUGUGCCUCAAUCC